GGGUGUAUGGUCUAGAGGUAUGAUUCUUGCUUAGGGAAGUCAACACUUCAAAACAUGCAAGAGGUCCCGCGUUCGAUUCGCGGUACACCCC